rnacentral:rRNA from 1 species
AUUGAACGCUGGCGGCAGGCCUAACACAUGCAAGUCGAGCGGAUGAAGGGAGCUUGCUCCUGGAUUCAGCGGCGGAAGGGGGAGUAAUGCCUAGGAAUCUGCCUGGUAGGGGGGGAUAACGUCCGGAAAAGGGCGCUAAUACCGCAUACGUCCUGAGGGAGAAGGUGGGGGAGGUUCGGAAAGCACGCUAUCAUAUGAGCCUAGGUCGGAUUAGCUAGUUGGUGGGGUAAGGGCCUACCAAGGCGACGAUCGGUAACUGGUCGGAGAGGAUGAUCAGUCACACUGGAACGUGGACAGGGUCCUGGCUCCUACGGGAGGCAGCAGUGGGGAAUAUUGGACAAUGGUCGGAAGCCUGAUCCAGCCAUGCCGCGUGUGUGAAGAAGGUCUUCGGAUUGUAAAGCACGUUAAGUUGGGAGGAAGGGCAGUAAGUUAAUACCUUGCUGUUGUGACGGUACCAACAGAAUAAGCACCGGCUAACUUCGUG